AUGAAGCAAGCCUUGCGACGAGCCGGCGUGGACGACCCCAUGUCAAUGAAGUUCCACUUCAUGAUGGGAUUGAAAAACGACAUCUCCAAGACCAUCUUCCUCGAGAACUACAAGUCCCUCGACGAUAACUACAUUGGUGCUCUCAAGGCGGAACAAGAACUCAUGAAGGCCAAGGCUUCUUCACCCCAAGCACACUUCUCGACGACCAAGCUCAAAGACGACGAGCAUGAGGCUAGUACCACCAAGAUGUCCAAGCCCGAUGAGCUCGAAGACGAUGCUCUCAAGUUCGACUCCACCACCAUCCCUCUUUGUGGCAUUGAUGGUGCCGAGUCCUCCACGACUCUUUUUCAAGACUGUGCGGCGACGAGUAUGACUACAGAGACCUUCAAGGACCAAGCUUUGGAGGCGAGCGACAUGGUGAUGAGCAAGGAUGAUGCUUCCAUCUUAGGAGGCGAGAGUGCUAAUGCGCCAUCUUCGGCCUUCAUCCAUGGUGACAAUGACGAGAUGGUUGAGCAUGGGAUUUUCCCUUCGACAACGGCGACGUAUGAUGACUUGAGUGACUUGUGCCACCAUAUUGAGAGUGAGAGUGACUUCACCACUAGCCACAUAUAUGAUGAGUUGCCCCAAUUCCCAUGUGAGGAGAGCCACAACCCCCACCACUUGAGUGAGAUGAGUGACUCCACCAUACGUGAGAUUGAGUGCACCUAUCUUGAGGGAGUGAGUGAACCACCACAUAGAGAGAGUGAGGCCACUUCGAUUUCUAACGACUUAACCUUUACCUCUAUUGUGUCUUCUCAUUUGGUGCUAGGUCCCUUAUAUGAUGACGUGAUGACUACGUCCUUCCUUUGGACAAGACGAUGGCCAUGGUGGAAUAUGAUGCACCCCCCACAUGGUUCCAUCAAGAUGAAGAUGACAAACGACUUGUUCUUCAACACCUCACCUACAACACAUGAGCGAUGCUCCAACGGUAACAUAGGUGAUGGUGCUUCUCUUGUCCCACUAGUGGACUAUCUUGACAUCAAUUGCUUGCAUGAUGUUGAUCCACCUAUUUCCAUGCUUCAUGCUAGUGCGACUUCUUCAUAUCAUGACUUACCAAUUUAUGAUGACUAUGAUGAUGAGCAUGUUGAGUUGCCUAGUUGUGAUGCUAUGCUCCAUAGGAUUUCUUGUGACAAUUCUUUAGGUCACAUCAUGUUUGAUAAUCCGCUUGACUUGUCAUAUGCUAUGCAUGAGAUCAACAAUAUGUCAUAUUUGCAAUCUCUUCAUAGUGACUAUGCAUAUGCCAUUAAAAUUAACCCAAUUUGCACUUAUGGCAUAGAUGUCAAGCCCAUGAUUAUUGGCAUUUGUUUUUCUUGUGAUGAUAUUGAUAUGCUCCCUUUGCAUCAAUUAUCUCAUAUGCCAUGCCAUGACCACCUAGCUUCGGAUAUGCAUUGUUUUGGAUGUUGUCCAUUUUCUCCAUAUGAUAUCCCCGCUAUUGCUCAUGAGGAGACCCCCAUAGUUUCCUCAUACAUGUUAGGAGAUUUUGAUUCAUCCUAUCCAUUGCAUGAUCCCUAUACGUGUGUGCACAAUAUGCUCCCCAUGAAUCAUAAUGAUAUUGGUGUGCCACAUACUAGUAUGCUCAAUUUGCAUCCCCAUCGUGUCAUACAUAACAACUAUUCUUUCAUGAUGGAUGACAUGUUCUUGUACCAUGCAUCAAAUUUCUUUGAGCGAUGCUUAUCUUGUGCUAACUCACGCGUGCACAUACACAUCAUGAUGGAUGAUGUGUACAUUUACCACACACACAAUUUCUUUCGUUUGUGUCUCUUUUGUGUAGGUACCCAUGAAUACUUGUCAACUUCGCAAUCCCACGAGUUGACAAAACAAGCUCUAGAGAGCAACGAUGAUUUGGGAUCCCAUGGAUUGCCUUUCCCACCGCUCACUUCGCGCAAACACUUCGCGCAUUUCUUUUACAUGGCCCUCACAUGGUUAUGGGUUGUUGUCCAUUAUAUAUCCUUUGCCCAUCUUGCCAUGUUCACUUUGCAUGAUAUGCUCAUUCCUAUGCCUUUGCCAUGCAUUUGUGACCCAUGCUUUGCAUUACACAUGACGAUUGAUUCUAGUACUUGUAUGUGUAUUUGCAAGCUUGGUGGAGAUAUCACUUGUUAUUUCCAUGUUUGCUUUAUGACCCAUGCCUAUGAUGAUACUAUGAUCUUGAUUUGUGUUCGUGCUUGCGAUAUGUCAUGUGCAUUGCUUAUGCCCAUUACUUGCUCACAUGACAUGAUUGCCAUGAUUUCCUCUAGUGUGUUGCAUCUUUGCUCCAGUAGUUUGCACGACUUGAUUACUAUGUUUGCUUGCCUUGUUGCAUCACCAAUGAUUCAUACUUGCUCAUUUCAUGCGGUUGAUGACAACUAUCUACAUGCUUUGCACAUGAUUGUGAUUGCUUCUUGUCAUUUAUCUCCAUGUGUUGCCUCUCUCAUGCUAGAUGAUUUGCCAUGUAUUGAGUGCAACAAUGCCCUUAGUCUUGAUAAUGAGUUUGCCCCCAUAGCAUUCUCACAUAUAAUUGGAGAUUUUGACAUAUUCCUUGUGAAGCAUGCUUGUCUUACCUCUUUGCACCAUAUACCUCGUGCCAUGAAUAUAGCCAUUGUUGCAUCAUAUUAUUCAUGCACUUGUGCUUCUAAUGGUUAUGUGCAAAAGAAGAGAACCAUCAUGAUGGAUGAUGUGUUUAUCUACCAUGCACAUACGUUCUUUGUUUUAUUGUGUGCAUGUGUAGGAUACUUGGACUUUGUGUCGACUUUCCCUUCACGUGAGUUGACCAUUCGAGCUCUUGAGAGUGAACCAUCUUCUACCACGACGAUUCUACAUCGCACUUGCUUGUGCUUCGGCAUUGUGAAGGACGCACAAGGACACGCCUUCAAGGUGACAUCUUACUUGAGCAUGGAUAUUACGGAUCAUCCUACUUGUGUUGCUUGCACAAUGAGACUUAUUGUUCAUCUUGGACCACUUGAUUGCACACAUGUUAGAGAUCUUGCUUCGACUUGUCAUAUUCACCGUUCCAUGCAUCAUGAUAUAUAUGCCUUGUGUGUUGCAUCCAAUCCUUGGAUUACUUGCUCCUCUCAUAUGUUUGGUUGCAACAAUGUCAUCACUUCACAUAUGCCAUGUCUCAUUGAUUGCUACAUGAUUGACUUGAUUGCCUCACACAUGAUGCACAAUUGCUCUUUCUAUUGUGUUGAGUGCCACACUAUAUUCACCACACCCCAUGCACGUUACGCUUGGAUUGCCUUGCACUUGACCCAUGUGUUUAGACAUCUCAUCUUAUUUGGUGUUGUGAAUGAUUCUUAUGCCUACCAUAGACCUUUCAUUGAGCAAUUUGUGAAUGCUUGCUAUGAACUUGAGGUAGAUGCUUAUUCUCUUGUCAAACAUAUUUGCAUCUCUACCUCACAUUUACAUGAUUGUCCCCAUGCUAUAUUUGCUUGUGCUCAAUUUAUGUGCAUAUAUACCAUGUCACAAUCCUUUGUCAAACCAUAUGCUUUGCAUGAUGACGACACUUGUUGGGUGAAUCACCACUUGAAUGCUUGGUUUUGCACUAACGCUAACCACAUUUGUUUUUCCAAGUGUUUGUUGUUUUUGCUCCUUUUGAAGGAAUCACUACACGGUGUGACAUUGAAGAGUGCACAUUUCGAGCUUCAAGAUGACAAGUACUUGGUGAACGUCCACUUCUACACGGCGAAGCCAUCUCUUUCCCAUGGUGAUUUGGUUUUCGAUCCGAGGUCGGAUCUUUCCCAAGGGAGGGGAGAUGAUGCGGAGCAUCCUAUGGACAUCACCAUGUCAAGAGUCCGUUCGGCGAGUGACACGUGCGACAUCUACUUCACAUACACAAAGGUGAAUCAUCUCCUUUACACGUGCUCACUUGACCCCUUCGAGGAUGGUAUACUACUUGACACUCCACUCGUGUGCAUGCAUAGGUAUUGUCGGAACACUACGGACGACGAGGAGGAGUGCAAGCGCCAAGGAACAACUACACCAUCCGCAAGAGGAGCAUGGAAGAGAAGGAGGAAGAAGACCCAGGACGAGCGGUACUACCGCCCACACCAAGUGGUACUACCGCUAGAGGCCCCCAAGCGGCACUACCGCCGAACUUCCGCUCUACUGCCGCUCAACCCGACAAACUCCUGUGCUCGAGCGACCCGGGUCCGGUACUAG
rnacentral:rRNA from 1 species